rnacentral:lncRNA from 1 species
GUAGGUGGCUCGGUUGGAAGAAGGAGUUGGAUAUCAUUUGAAGAAAAAGCAUCUUCCAAUGAAAAAACAAACACUGCUGGUGAUAGCGCUGGUGUGGGUGGUGCUGGUGACUCUCUGCGCGUAUCUAAAGGCCACAUCAAGUCAGCAUCAAUUUCAUCUGCAGACCCCUCUAAUGACCCUCUACAUCAAGCAAGUACAAAUACGGGUAGAGGUCCACCAGUUUCUCCCGCAGCCACAAGUAGGCAACCUUUUCCCCGCAACAUACCAUCACGUAGCACAUUUCAUAGCGGUCAAAAUAGACAACGAGGCGGUUAUGGUGGAGCUUCUCCUACUUCUGCCCCUCAUGACGCAUCUGCUCGUCCAUCUAUCUUUGCCAAGAUAUCCUCAAAAUUUUCUAAACGGUGAGUUUACAAUUUCAUUUUUUACAUUGUUGAUUCGUAGUAAGUUGCUUUUUUAUUAG